AACGCACGAGACCUGCGGACCUGCGGAGGGAUCAUUACCGAGUUACAACUCCCAAACCCAAUGUGAACGUUACCAAACUGUUGCCUCGGCGGGAUCUCUGCCCCGGGUGCGUCGCAGCCCCGGACCAAGGCGCCCGCCGGAGGACCAACCAAAACUCUUUUGUAUACCCCCUCGCGGGUUUUUAUAUCUGAGCCAUCUCGGCGCCUCUCGUAGGCGUUUCGAAAAUGAAUCAAAACUUUC
rnacentral:misc_RNA from 1 species